UACGGAGGGUGCGAGCGUUGUUCGGAAUCACUGGGCGUAAAGGGCGUGUAGGCGGUCUGUUAAGUCUGAUGUGAAAGCCCGGGGCUCACCCCCGGAAGGGCAUUGGAAACUGACGGACUCGAGUCCCGGAGAGGAGAGUGGAAUUCCUGGUGUAGCGGUGAAAUGCGUAGAUAUCUGGAGGAACACCAGUGGCGAAAGCGAGUUACUGGCCCGCAACUGACGCUGAGGAACGAAAGCCAGGGUAGCAAAAGGG
rnacentral:rRNA from 1 species